rnacentral:rRNA from 1 species
UACGUAGGGGGCUAGCGUUGUCCGGAUUUAUUGGGCGUAAAGAGCGUGUAGGCGGCCAUGUAGGUCCGGUGUGAAAACUCGAGGCUUAACCUCGAGAUGUCAUCGGAAACCAUUUGGCUAGAGUCCGGAAGAGGAGAGUGGAAUUCCUGGUGUAGCGGUGAAAUGCGCAGAUAUCAGGAAGAACACCAAUGGCGAAGGCGGGUCUCUGGACAGUUCCUGACACUGAGACACGAAGGCCAGGGGAGCAAACGGG